rnacentral:rRNA from 1 species
UACAGAGGUCUCAAGCGUUGUUCGGAUUCAUUGGGCGUAAAGGGCGCGUAGGCGGCAAGGCAAGUCGGGUGUGAAAGCUUGGGGCUUAACCCCCGAAAGGGCACUCGAAACUGCCCUGCUAGAGGGCCGGAGAGGAGAUCGGAAUUCACGGUGUAGCAGUGAAAUGCGUAGAGCUCGUGAGGAAGACCGGUGGCGAAGGCGGAUCUCUGGACGGCCCCUGACGCUGAGGCGGCGAAGGCUAGGGGAGCAAACGGG